rnacentral:rRNA from 1 species
UACGUAGGGUGCAGGCGUUAAUCGGAAUACUGGGCGUAAAGCGUGCGCAGGCGGCUCCUUAAGUCAGAUGUGAAAGCCCCCGGGCUUAACCUGGGGAACUGCGUUUGAAACUGGGGAGCUGGAGUGUAGAAGAGGGGGGUGGAAUUCCAGGUGUAGCAGUGAAAUGCGUAGAUAUCUGGAGGAACACCGAUGGCGAAGGCAGCCCCCUGGGCUAACACUGACGCUGCAUGCACGAAAGCGUGGGGAGCAAA